GAACGCCCAUUUUCAUUAGGAAACAUUCCCAGACUCAAUGCUUAACUUUUCAUAAUAGAAAGGACUAUUUAGUUUUCACAUGCAUCCAGAGCAAGAAAGGAAACUGGAAAACCCAUCCCCAUGGGACCACACCUGGCUAGUGGACUGGCUGUAACUGGAUCUGAAGAGCAACACAGAAGAAGGUCACAUAGCUUCUUGCAGUAAUUGAGGGAAUUCCAUCCUGAUGUGUCUUUCUUGUCCCAAUGUGUGUACUGCAAAAGAGUGGACACCCAUGUAUACCCAGCUGUCUACCAUUAAAGCCUGGGAUGAGGACAUUGUUGGAUGGGGUCUCAGGCUACACUGGGGGACUUUCUUCAGACCAGUUCAAAAAGAACUCUGCCUAGCUUUCUCAACAAAAAUCUGUACAGAAGAUUAUUUAAAGUCUUCACCAAUGUCUCCAAUGAAUAGAAUGCUAAACUCCAACUUUUUAAUGUCCUAUCCUAAGGAAAUACCAUGUCUGAAAGGCAUUCAUGUAUGUCUUACUGUGACCCUACACAUUUCUUCCCAGGCUUUGUGGCUAGUGGUGGAAGGUGGCUGGAGCCAAAUGCAGAAAGUCCAGGUGCUAGCUUUGUUCAUUCCCAGGAUCAUUAGUGUCUGCAAAGCCUGUGAGACUGCAUAA
ensembl:lncRNA